rnacentral:rRNA from 1 species
GAUUACUGGGCGUAAAGCGUGCGCAGGUGGUUNGUUAAGACAGAUGUGAAAUCCCCGGGCUUAACCUGGGAACUGCGUUUGUGACUGGCGAGCUAGAGUCUUUCAGAGGGAGGURGAAUUCCACGUGUAGCAGUGAAAUGCGUAGAUAUGUGGARGAAYACCGAUGGCGAAGGCARCCUCCUGGGMMAUGACUGACACUCAUGCACGAAAGCGUGGGGAGCAAACAGGAUUAGAUACCCUGGUAGUCCACGCCCUAAACGAUGUCAACUGGUUGUUGGGUAACUUGUUUACUCAGUAACGAAGCUAACGCGAGAAGUUGACCGCCUGGGGAGUACGGUCGCAAGAUUAAAACUCAAAGGAAUUUGACG